rnacentral:piRNA from 1 species
UGCCAGAUGCCUUCUUCUCUCUUCUUGGU